rnacentral:rRNA from 1 species
GUGAGGAAUAUUGGUCAAUGGACGGAAGUCUGAACCAGCCAUGCCGCGUGCAGGAAUAAGGUCCUAUGGAUUGUAAACUGCUUUUAUUCGGGAAUAAACCUCUUUACGUGUAGGGAGCUGAAGGUACCGAAGGAAUAAGCACCGGCUAACUCCGUGCCAGCAGCCGCGGUAAUACGGAGGGUGCAAGCGUUAUCCGGAAUCAUUGGGUUUAAAGGGUCCGCAGGCGGGCUAUCAAGUCAGAGGUGAAAUCCCACAGCUUAACUGUGGAACUGCCUUUGAAACUGAUGGUCUUGAAUUAAGUGGGCGUUGGCGGAAUAUGACAUGUAGCGGUGAAAUGCAUAGAUAUGUCAUGGAACACCGAAAGCGAAGGCAGCUAACGAUACUUAUAUUGACGCUCAUGUACGAAAGCGUGGGUAGCGAACAGGAUUAGAAACCCCAGUAGUCC